AGCCCUGGAAACGGGGUCUAAUACCGGAUAUUACUGUCGCAGGCAUCUGUGAUGGUGGAAAGCUCCGGCGGUGCAGGAUGAGCCCGCGGCCUAUCAGCUUGUUGGUGGGGUGAUGGCCUACCAAGGCGACGACGGGUAGCCGGCCUGAGAGGGCGACCGGCCACACUGGGACUGAGACACGGCCCAGACUCCUACGGGAGGCAGCAGUGGGGAAUAUUGCACAAUGGGCGAAAGCCUGAUGCAGCGACGCCGCGUGAGGGAUGACGGCCUUCGGGUUGUAAACCUCUUUCAGCAGGGAAGAAGCGCAAGUGACGGUACCUGCAGAAGAAGCACCGGCUAACUACGUGCCAGCAGCCGCGGUAAUACGUAGGGUGCGAGCGUUGUCCGGAAUUAUUGGGCGUAAAGAGCUCGUAGGCGGCUUGUCGCGUCGGAUGUGAAAGCCCGGGGCUUAACUCCGGGUCUGCAUUCGAUACGGGCAGGCUAGAGUUCGGUAGGGGAGAUCGGAAUUCCUGGUG
rnacentral:rRNA from 1 species